GUGCUCACUUCAGCAGCAUAUAUACUAAAAUUGGAAUGAUACAGAGAAGAUUAGCAUGGUCCCUGCACAAUGCUUUAUAAGGCAUUGGUGAGGCCUCACUUGGAGUA